AGUAAAUAUUGAUGGAACAGAGCCGGAGACCGUCUUUAAUUUCACUUAUGGGAGCGUGCCGGAGAUUGUGACAGUUGACCAUAUUUCCCGCCUCCUCUAUUACACUGAGGGUAUAUACAGUACCGUUGGUGUUAUGCGCAUGGACGGCUCACAGCACAAGGUUUUGUUUAGAGCUAAUAAACCGAGAGGGAUAACACUGGAUCCAAUUAAUGGCUGGAUGUAUUGGACGGAUUGGGGUGGGGAACCAAAGAUAGAACGCGCCCACAUGGACGGCGGAAACAGACAAACUGUGGCGG